UUGCAUGAAACAAUGUGGAGUUUAAAGUGUUUUAAAGCCAAAUACUGGUCGAGAAGAUUUAGUUGAUUGUUGAUGUGUCAUAACAUCUGUCUUGACUCGGGAAGCUCCUUCACUUCUUAACUGAAAACUUCUCCUCAGAGCGAAAUGGGGCCGAGGAGAAGAUUCAUCAUCAUCCUCGUACAGAGAAGAUUGUUCGGGUUCCGCACCCUGCAGAGUGGAACAAAUGGAACAGUGUGCUGGCUUCUGAUUGGCUGAUGUGUUGUGAGUUGUUUCAUCACCCGCCCCUCACGCUUUGCAUUGCGGGUCACAGUAUUUCAUAAAAUAUAGUGUUUCUAUAAAGCAUCGUGACAGAUAUCACGGAUACCCAAAAACUAAAUAUUAUAAAUAGAGUUUGAAACGCAACGAAUAUUUAUCCAGAAUAUUAUUUUUUGCACACAUGUAUUGGAAACAUGACUGUGAUCUUAUUUUCAAAUAUUUUAUUAAAAUAUUUGGGAAAAAAGUUCAAUUUAGGUAAAGCAUGCAUGCACACAAUAAAAUAGCGAAGAUUUGCAUGAAACAAUGUGGAGUUUAAAGUGUUUUAAAGCCAAAUACUGGUCCAGAAGAUUUAGUUGAUCGUUGAUGUGUCAUAACAUCUGUCUUGACUCGGGAAGCUCCUUCACUUCUUAACUGAAAACUUCUCCUCAGAGCGAAAUGUAAGUUAUUUUAUCUUCAUCUUUCACUGUUUGUGUAAAACCUCGUAGUUGUUUCUGUUCUUGUGGACGCGCAUCUGAUGCUGUGAGGGGCGACCAAGGCUCGUGAACCUCAGGCUCUGUAUUUUGUUGCCACCUAAAGUAGAACAUAUAUUAUACUAACACAUCUACAAAUAUAUUUCUCUAUUUACAUGUUUUAUUAUAUGUAUUAUACAUUAUAAACCGAAAGGACACAUCGAUUCAAUCACAGGUCAGUAAUCUAAUGUUAUAGCGCCAUCUGGAGACCGUCAAAUCUUUAAGCAGAUAUUUUAUCUGAGGUUUUUAACCAGGUUAAGCAGGUCAAACAGGUUCUCCUGGUGUAUUUUGCCAUAAGAAUUCAUUUCCAAAUAAAAACACUUUAAACCAUUAUUAGAAAAAAGUCAUUUUGAACAAUAAAUAUACUGAAAAAAACAUCGAGGGCGUUCAAGACAUUAAUGGACAACUUUCAGUUUGUGCACCAGGGGGCGCCAGAGGAUCACACAUUAUGUUGAACCCAUUAAAUAGUCCCACAGAAUUAUUUAAAAUGCAAAUCUUUCAUUUUUUAUAAAGGGGAAAUGACAAGUUUAUUGGUCAAGUAUACUUUGCACAUACACACAUAAAUAUUUAGUAAGUCAAGUGCUUUUAUGUCUCUCUGCUUGUCUGUUUGACUUGUAUUCAUGUAUUGAAACCUUAAUGCUCUUUUAAAGAGAUAAAAUGCUAAAAGGUGAGAAUUUGACGUUAUGGUUCAACACACAGACCUUAAAUCAUGAAAUGAGUCUUAGAAAUGUGCACAGCUGAUGUCAUUUUCAGUUAAAACUCAUUUAUAAUAAAGAAUUUGAUUAAAAUGACGAAUUAAAGUAUAAAUAAAGGACAAAAAUGAGGAACGCUUCACGAAUUUGCGUGUCAUCCUUGCGCAGGGGCCAUGCUAAUCUUCUCUGUAUCGUUCCAAUUUUAGUAUAUGUGCUGCCGAAGCAAGCACGAACAAGCAGCUGGACUGCUGGGUAUUUAUACCACGGUGCUUCAGCAAGUCUUCUAAUAGAUGGUAAGCGGACAAACCACAUGUACUUGUCUUUGGCUUUCACAUUCCUGAUACAAACCUGUUACACACUCCAUAACAAAUCCAAGCCUCACAUUAAUCAUUAAACCUUUAAAAACAAGAUAUUUAGUGUAAACUAUGUCUGUCUGCCCAGGAACGGGCAAACAUGCAGAUCAGAAGGUCCUCAGACAAACAGGAUUGGCUCACGGUGGUGACUUCCCGAAGCUUUGUUCUCUGUCCCCUCCCCCGUCAACAUCGAAUAAACAUAGAGUUGAGUUGUGAUGGUGAGAGAUCCUGUCUGAACGUCCACCUGGGGCCCGUUUCAAUAAGGAGGUUCAACCACCGAGUUAAAGUCUCAAGUCUACUUUAUUUAUAGAGCCCUUUCCACUACAAAGUAGACCAAAGGACUGUACAACCAGUACUAGUGUUGUAAAAAUAUAACGCAUGACGUGUGCGGUUGACAAAUGCGACUCCCUGAAAAACAAACUAAAUCCUGGCAAGGACGCAUCCGGGAGAAAGGUCUCAUCUGGUCCCCUAUCUAACAUUAACUUUGUGAAUGUAAAGUCUGACCCAUUGGUUCUGGCCCGCGAGAUCCACUUUCCUGCCGAUUUUAGCACCAACCCGGAUUAAACACCCGAAGAUGCUGAUCAGUUACUACAGGAACAGAUGCGUUCACCAUAAAGUUGGGUUGCGCAGAUUGUUUGAAUCUAGAAAGUGACAAAUGUGCUGAAUUAUAGACAGUGAGACAUGUCCUUUGAGUGUGUUUAAAUAAGCGUGUUUGGUUUGUGUUUCUUCCUUCCAAAUCUAAGUAGGCCUACUCUCCACACUUCAGAUAAGUACGUGGCAUUAAUAAACCAGAAGAUCUCGCGGGCCAGAGUUGGGAACCAAUGGUCUAACCUGACGUUACCUAACUAGCCGGCUAAUUUUAGCCUAUUCAAUAUUCAUGAAAUCAAAUGUUGGAAUAGUGGUAAAUUAUAUACAUACCUCGUUCAAACACGCAACCACAUUUCCUCGUCAGUUCGUGAGAAGCGUUCAAGAACACCGCCCAAAAUGUACCCGCAGAGAAAGAAGAUCCAGAACCAUCUUCUCUGUCUGCAAAAGAUCCAGAACAAUAUUGGGUCACUGCCCCAACACCUGUGUAUAAUUAAGGGUGGAGGAGAAAAAGAAGGCAGAAAAACUGAAGAACUUGGAAAAAAUGCAGCAUGCUACAAUGCAAAGGCUUUUUGCUUUUGCAACUGCAGAGAAAGUGUAAAAAAAGGCCAAAUUCUGUAAACCUUACUGGGCUCCUGUUAUUUCUGCAGAGGAAAGUGAGACAAGGAGACGUUUUAGAGAAAGUUAAGAGAUCAAAAGAUCUGCAGCCUCAGAGAAAAAAACAAAAAGGAACAAAUUCAGAAACUCUCAAUGGCCUGAUGUGCGGAGACGUCCAGCUAAACCAGGUUUACCCCAAACUGCUUCACAGGCUGUGCUGCCUCCACAUCCCUCUGUGGUUGAGGAAGCUCUUAAACGGGUGCCAAGGGCCACUGCAUGGAGGCGAAAGAAAAGAGCCGAAGAAGAGAGAAGGGACUCGCAGAAUGGGAAGAGGCCAGCAAGACUCAGAGAUCCCUAGGGACUCCCAUGUAGUUUGUGUGGUCAGCCAAAUAGACUUAGUUUUUUACAAGGGAAAGAGUUUCUGUGCCACUGCAGUAGGCAGAAGUGUUUCUGAAAGACUCCCGAAGCAGAAAAGGGGUGCAUGGUACAGACAUUGCUUAGGAUGUUCCUCAAACCACUGCCUGGCUAAAAAAGAAAGCUAUUGAGGAAGGAAAUCCAAUCAAGAACAGCAAGGUUUCCAAAAUUUUUACUUGUCAACUUUGGCAUCAGCCGAAGACAAAAGAAUAUGGACAUUCUCAGUACAAGGGUAAAUAUGAGGUGACAUAUGAGGGUAAAACAGUAGAGCUAAACAUAACUCACGAGGGGGAAAACAGGACAAGAUAAACUAAUUACCAGAACAAGGACACAGACUGACUAGACUAAGAAAACAAACACUAAACUACACUUACAAGACACGAUGAAACAGGAACUUUGCAUGACAAGGUAACUAGCAACAGCAUACACAUACAGACAAUGACCAAGACAAGACAAAGAAACAUGAGGACUCUUUAAAGGGAACAAACACAGGAUAAUUCAUGAGGACCUGGUGAUAGGGAUGAACACUCAAGGAAAGCUUACGAGAAAACGAGAUGGCGGGAACAAAGACACAGACCAGAGGGAGAGUAUAGCAAGCCGUUAGGAUCACUAUCUCUCCCUCCACGUACAACCUUGGGCUAUGCCAUGACUGCGCUGCAAGAACAAGAAUAAACAUGACAUGAUAGCGGAAUCAUGACACCUGUGGCAUCUGCAUCAUCUUCCCAACAUGUUCGGCAUCCCUCACACCGAGCUUCUUGUUAGAUUUAAUUUCCGCAUAAAUGAAUAUACACAUGCAAACUAAUGAAUUGUGAGGUUGUUAAGCUCACUGAAUACAUUCCUGGCUAGAUAGUUGGAUGAAGGGUUUCCCUCUGGCCAUAUGGGGGGGGAUUAUUCUAAGCUAAACAUUCUUUGUCUUAUGUGCUUUAUCUUAUUUGGUCAUUCUGUUAACCCCUGGACAUUUGAAACCAUCCAGAGGUCUUUUGUUACCUUUAUAAAGGCUGAAAUAAAAUAAAUGAGUUAAAAGC